GAACGGUCCCUUUUGCGGACCUCCGAUCCGGCCGUCCGUUAGCUGGAGAUUGAACUGGAGAUUGAACUGGAGAUUGAGCUGGAGAUUGAAGCCGGUCGUUCCGAUCGGAACUGGAGAUCGGAACUCGCGAUGAGAACUUGAGAUUGAGUUCCGAUCUCCAGUUCCGCGAUCGGAGACCAGAGUUCCGCGAAAUCGGAGACCAGAGUUCCGCGAAAUCGGAGUCUGCGAACUCGGAGACCAGUUCCCGAUCUCAAUCGAUUGCGUGUUCCAUCGACUUGCGAGGUCCCCGCGGAACCCAUCGCAG
rnacentral:lncRNA from 1 species